UUUCCCCCUCAAAAAAUAUUUUCAGAAUGUUUAAAAUGACUACUUUUUUUCUCUCUAUAAAAUAUGACUUUUCAAGUCUUUUUCUCCUAUGAUAUUUUUUUCCCUCUGAAAAUACACUUGUAUGGCAAUGAAUGGCUUACAAAGGUAUUUAGAGGGGCAGAGUUUUACCCUGGAACAGAUCAUUUGCAUCUCCUUUGGGGGUGGCUUUGAAAUGGCAGCAUGGACAACCAUAGGAAUUUGGGACGCGAAUCACAGCUUGCAGCGUUGACAUUGUCACAUUGUGUCCACCUGAGCCAUCUGUCCCCUUGCGACACGCCGGCAACGCCGCGCAACGCUCGACCCGUCCAAAUAGGGCCAAUCACGUCUUUCUAUUCUCGUCCUUCCUCAUCCCGCCCACUGGCUUUAUAAGAGCGUCGCAGCCUGGGCACUGGUUUGGCACAAGACCUCCCAGAGCAAGACAUGUAAAAGACACAAAAUAAUAGCCAGUGUCCUCCAUGGCCUUGAUGAUGAUGAUGAUGAUGAUAUAUGGAACUUAAUGAUAAGAGCCACACACUGCAGGUGAUCAAUCCAGGGCGCACCCGCGCCUCUUACCCGAUGUCAGCCGGGACAGACUCCAUGGUGGAAAGAAACACCGGCAAAGAAAAUUUUCGACGACAUGUACAAUCUCCUACUCCAAGACGACAAUGUCAUCAGCGCAAAGGCAGGCUGUGUGCGU